rnacentral:rRNA from 1 species
UACGAAGGGGGCUAGCGUUGCUCGGAAUUACUGGGCGUAAAGGGCGCGUAGGCGGCUCUGUUAGUCAGGCGUGAAAGUCCUGGGCUCAACCUGGGAACUGCGCUUGAUACGGCAGGGCUAGAGGAUGGAAGAGGGGUCGCGGAAUUCCCGGUGUAGCGGUGAAAUGCGCAGAUAUACGGGAGAAACACCAAGGCGAAGGCAGCUUGCUGGGACGGUACUGACACUGAGACGCGAAAGCGUGGGGGAGCAAACAGG